GACGAACGCUGGCGGCGUGCCUAAUACAUGCAAGUAGAACGCUGAAGGAGGAGCUUGCUUCUCCGGAUGAGUUGCGAACGGGUGAGUAACGCGUAGGUAACCUGCCUGGUAGCGGGGGAUAACUAUUGGAAACGAUAGCUAAUACCGCAUAACAGUAGAUAUUGCAUGAUAUCUGCUUAAAAGGUGCAAUUGCAUCACUACCAGAUGGACCUGCGUUGUAUUAGCUAGUUGGUGGGGUAACGGCUCACCAAGGCGACGAUACAUAGCCGACCUGAGAGGGUGAUCGGCCACACUGGGACUGAGACACGGCCCAGACUCCUACGGGAGGCAGCAGUAGGGAAUCUUCGGCAAUGGACGGAAGUCUGACCGAGCAACGCCGCGUGAGUGAAGAAGGUUUUCGGAUCGUAAAGCUCUGUUGUAAGAGAAGAACGAGUGUGAGAGUGGAAAGUUCACACUGGACG
rnacentral:rRNA from 1 species